rnacentral:rRNA from 1 species
UCUCUCUGAAUCUGCGAACGGCUCCGCAAACCAGUUGUAAACUAUUGCUAGCAUGCUCGUUACCUUCGGGUGGCGGGCGAUAAGGAUAACCCUGGUAAUUCUGAGGCUAAUACUCGACCGUACAACUCGCUGGACCGGGCAACUGGGAAGGCGGGGGACGUGCUUUUAAUCGCAGAAGAUGCCGGGAAAGGAUGCACGUUCAGACCACCAUACAAACGGUAUUGGUGAAGCCCGCAAGGGUCUAAUCAUGUCCGGGUGGCUCUAGCAUUGUGCUUCUGACCUAUCAACUAGAUGGCAGUGUAAGGGACAUGCCAUGGUUACAACGGGUACAGAGGAUAAGGGUUCGAUCCUGGAGAGUGGGCCUGAGAGAUU